AAUACACCCUGAUUACAACAAAGCUGCAGCAUUCUCUUUCCACUUUCAGGACAAGGAAUUCUUCUGUGAGGUCUUCCACAAACGUUUCGGAAAUACAAAAACAUGAUAAAAACUUUAAAAAUGUGAUUUUUCUCCGCUUAAUUCCAUAUCUUCCCAAAUCUCUCUCACCUCAGACACAGAAAUCUGAAUGAUCAACUUCCAAAGCAAGGAAGUCUACUAGGAGAUCAAGGGAAAUGAACCCAUCAUUCAAGCAAAGCCAAAAAAGACAUAGUUAAAAUAAUUUAAUUCAAAUGAUUUCCGAAAAAAUUUCAAUGAAUCUCACUUUCUUCAGUUUCAUUGCCUUUGUGAAUUAUCCGAAGAAUUCAUUUAAAUGGAAUUCCCUAUUAGUGUUUAAAAAAAUUCUUUUUAUCCAUUCAAUGUCAUAAGAACUUCGAAAUAAGCUCCAAGUUAAUCUACCCGUUGCAUAGGAAAACAACAAUCAUAAGAUAUUGUCACUUUUAAUACAAUUAUAUAUAGCAUAGAAGAGGAAGAGUUGUGGGAAGACUUGGAUUCUAGUAAAACUUUCAUUCUAUUCAUUAUUUCUGGUUAUGUAGUCGAGUCACAGUCUUCGAGAAACUAUUAUAACUUCUGAAGUGACAGAGCUGAUUUUAACUAUUCAAAAGAAAACCAUUUUUAGACUAAACUGCUCAUAAAUCCUUGAAUGGGCAUUCUAUUUCAUCAUAUUUUUAUUCAAUUUUUGAAUAUAAGCGAAAGAAGAAAAAAUUGUCAUAUCAUAUUCAAAUUGCAAUAUUUUUGAAUGGUUAUAAUAAUAUCUCCUUCAUAUGGUUAUUCAAAUAAUAACUGAAAGUUGAAGACACAUAAUCUAUUUUAUCAUUCCAUAAUUUUUGUCAACGACAACAUGCGUCUCUAAAACGAAGAGAAUUCACGUUGCGACCACUUCAAAUCUAUGAGCAUAUAUCUACGUUCGCAUAGCUUUACAGAUCCAAAUUAGUAACUAUCCAUUUCAGAAAGGUUUAUUACGUUGUACUUGAGGGAUAUCAUGAACAUUGAUCGAUUACAUAACUGUGUUAAGAACAUUAGCAUUCCCUAAAUGAAGAUAAUGAUCGUCGUUAUAGGGGAUAUCGUACAACUGUAGUUGUUCAAUCAUCAUAGAUGAAGGAAUUUAUCUCAAAUGAUAUUGAUGGUCUGAGUAUGAAGCUUAUACUCUACAUAUGUAUUGAUAUCAUAGACAGCGAUCAUCUUCAAACGUGUCUAAACAGUGAAUGAAGGAAAUCUGCAUUGUUAAAUUUAAAACUCGUCAUAAAGUCGUUGAAUCAUUUUAGACUAAGGAAUUAUGGAUCACCUAUUUUUUUAGUCGGAGUAUGAAGCUCUACACUACUUAUUUAGUGACGGCGUUAAUAAUCUCUAUUCUUUUCUUAAACAAUAUAAGCAUUCUCUGAAUGAAGUAAGUUCCUAUCGUUAUGAAUUAGUUCAAUUAGCACGGACGAAUUUAACUUAUCUACAUGGUGAGAAUUUUAAUCUUAUAUUCAACUAAUUUAGUGAAAACAAAAAGACGUGGAUCAUCUUUUUGACUUGUGUUAAUACAAUUGGAAUUCUUCGGAAUAAGAUUUUUUCUUCUUAAAGUUGAAAAUCGAAUCUCAUUAAGUAUGUAAAACAAUUUAGACCAAGCGAUGAAACUUCACAUAUUUACGUAGUUGGAAUUAGAAUCUCCCAUUCAAUUAUCUCCAGACCUGUCAAAACAACAUCAACAUUAUCUGAAUAAAGAAAAAUUUCUACGGUACAAUACUCAAUCCGUCAAUUCCUGAUAUUUAUUAUUUUUAUUUCAUAUUAAAUUUGAUUUAUAUUAUUUUCUGUGACUGCAAUUUUACAAUUUAAGAAAAAUGAGAUAUAAAUAUAUUCAAUAUUAACAUUAUAUGCUCAGCACAAUCUUGGAUUGUAUAGAAGAUAUGUGAAUGACAUCAGGUGUCUCUAGAAAUAGAUGAUUCUACUCAUUACAGUUCACCAUGUGGCCUUACAAAUCUAGAUGUUUCUCUUUCGAAGUAAUGAAGUAUAAUUAUCAUGGAUAAAGAUAUUUAGCUUCACCUCCCUACAUAGUAAGAGUUAGAAUAUUAUAAUCUAAAUAUUUAGUGGUAUUUUGGAUGUCAAUCAUCUCAAAGUUACCUAAGCACACUCUGAAUGACAACAAUUAUCGUCGUAUUGAAUUAACUCAAUCAUGCCGGACGAAGGGAUUAAGCAUGACUUAUCUUUAUGACCAUAUGUAUAUACUAUAUAAGUAUUCUUGUCGUUACAGUUGAUUUUGCUGUUACAAGGUACAAUCAUCAUGGAUGUCGAUCAUCUUCCGAUAAGUAACGAAAGAAAAAUGGAAACAAAUAUUCCAAAUUUAAUAUCAUCUUCAAAUUAUAAGCUCAUUACAAUCAUGGCAAUAUUUUCCUCCUUACAUUUCACAAUGUGGAUAUUCUAAAUCCAGACAUCAUGGACGUAAAUCAUCACUAGACCUGUUAAAACAACAUUAACAUCCUCUAAAGGGAGAUAUUUUAUCCUAUAUAUGUUCAUCACAUUUUUCCGGGUUCUAUGUGAAAUAUUAAUAAUGGUUAUAUAAAUAUCUCAUAAUAUAUAACACCUUAGCAGAAGAUUUCAUAAUGACAUCAGGCGUCUCUAAAGAAAGAAGCUUUUCAUUGUUAUUAAUAUUUCAUUAUGCAUCCAUUCCAAAUUUGAAAUUUUAUUUUGUUGUAAUGGAGAACAAUCUUAAUGUACGCAGUGAUUAAGCUUCACUUAUGUCUAUGGCUGUGAAAAGAUAUAGAUAUCAUGGGCGUCAAUCAUCUCCAUACCUUUUUUAAUUAAAUCAACAUUAUCUGAAUAAUUAUAAUUCUUGUAUUAAUUACUGAUUCCGUUGUUAUGAAAUAAUUCAAUCAUCAUGGACGAUGUAAUUAAGGUUUUUCAAUUUAUAUGGUCGGGAAAGAAAUCUCAUAUUCUACAAAUUUAAACUUUGAAUUAAAGAAAAAUGACGAGACACUUCGCCGAAUGUCAUUUUUCCGAACGGACACAUUGCCGAAAAAAAUAAUAAAUAUAUUUGAUGAUGAUUCAUACUGCAAUACUAAGUAAUUAUCUAGUAAACAAUGACGAACACAUCUUGAUAAUUAUAGAUUCCAGACAACACAUUUGAUCCAAACGAUUGAUUUAUUUAUUGGGACGGAAUCAUUGAUUGAUAAACUCCUUCUCUUCUUAAAACAUUUUUUAUCUUUUUAAUUUUUUUAUUGAGAGUUGUCAUGAUUAUUGUUACAACGGUUUUAAUAGCGGUUCGAGCCAACUCUUGAAACAUCUUCAUAAUGAAAUAAUUCAAUUAUUAAUUAAUCAACACUUAAUCAUUCCAAUUCCUGGUAGAUAGUUAAACAUUUUAUUUUUUUAAAUUGCUCUAACAUAAAUGGGAAUCAUAAUCAAAUAUGUUAAUUAUUUUUUUCGGCGAAGGGCCCAUGCACGUCUCUACAUAAUCUGGGAUUGAAUGGAAGAUACGUGAACGACAUCAAGUGUCUCUAAACGUGGAAGAUUUUACGUGUUACAUUUCACCAUGUGACUUACAAAUCUGAAUUCAGUUUCUUCUAUCUACUGGGUGAGAGUAGGAAUCUCACACUCUACGUAAUUACCUUGUAUGUCUAUCAUCUCCGGGUUUACCUAAUUUACAUCAACACUUUAAAUGAUGCCAAUUCUCGUCUCAUUAGAUUAACUCAAUUAUGAUGGACGAAGUGAUUAAGUAUGAUCCAUAUAUAUGGUUCUCGAUGGAAUUGCAUACUCUUCAUUUUUAGUGAUGUCAUAGACGUCUAUCAUAUCCGAACCUGGCAAACUAAUAAACAUUCAUCAACUUAUAGCAACUCUCGUCGUAUUAGAUUAGCUCAAUCAUGACUGACGAAAGGGAUUAUGCAUGACACAUCUAUAUGUUCGUAGAUUGAAUUACAUAUUUAAUGAUAUCAUAGAUGUUGAUUAUCUCCAGACUUGUCAAAGAUAUAUAUAUAUAUGUUUUCUUAAAUUUUGGUUAUGUUCAAUUUAGAUUUAGUGUUUCUAUCAUUUCAAUGAUUUUUUUUCGAAGUAUAAUUUUCAUUAUGAAGUUAAAUUCAACUCAUUUUACCUAUUUUAUUCUUGAACUACUAAUGAAAGAUGUGUACAUAUUUUGAUUUAUUAAUUGUCUAUAUAUUUAAUGCUUAACUGUUACAUUAUAAACACUUAUUAUUUCAAUUGAACUUCUCUAACUUUCAUUGUUAUUACACAAGUCUAAAUCUUUAAUACAAAUGUGUUUUUUUUAUAAUUACUUCUACUAUUUAAUUACGUUUAUUAAGGUAAUAAACUUACUCUUAAACCCCGA
rnacentral:lncRNA from 1 species